rnacentral:RNase_P_RNA from 2 species
UCUGGAGGAAGGAUAACCGCUAUGUUCUUUUUGAAUAUAGAGGAAAGUCCAGGCAGCAGAAAGCAGGGUGCGCGGCGUAAGCCGUGACGGGUAACCGCUAGUUAGAGCAACAGAGACGAGUUUUCAUAAAUCCCUAAAGGAUUUUGAAAAGUGAAACGCUCAGAAAUGAGCCUCUGAACUUUAGUCGAAGAGGGUUAUAACCCUCCGAAGCUUUAGCGAAGGGGGGCAAUCCUCCCCGCUGCAACCUCCGAAUUAAGCGUCAAACAGGUAGCUUUCCCAAACCUGUAGAAUAUUUAUAUUCUACCGGUACGCUUUAAAGUUUGAGGGCAUAGACAGAUGGUUAUGUAAUAACAGAACCUGGCUUACUCGCCUCCAGAGAUU